GUCGAAGAAAAAGUCUAAUAACAUCACAUGGAUUCCAAUAAAGUGCCCUCGUCAAACGAACAACAUCGAAUGUGGGUACUAUGUAUUGAGAUUCAUGAAGGAGAUUGUUGAUAGGAAUCAAACUAUUAUCCCAGAAACAUACUUUGACAAUUCCAGUCCAACAUACUCUGAGAAAGAUCUAAUUGAAUUAAAG